GAUGAACGCUGGCGGCGUGCCUAAUACAUGCAAGUCGAGCGAACAGACGAGGAGCUUGCUCCUCUGACGUUAGCGGCGGACGGGUGAGUAACACGUGGAUAACCUACCUAUAAGACUGGGAUAACUUCGGGAAACCGGAGCUAAUACCGGAUAAUAUAUUGAACCGCAUGGUUCAAUAGUGAAAGACGGUUUUGCUGUCACUUAUAGAUGGAUCCGCGCCGCAUUAGAUAGUUGGUAAGGUAACGGCUUACCAAGGCGACGAUGGGUAGCCGACCUGAGAGGGUGAUCGGCCACACUGGAACUGAGACACGGUCAAGACUCCUACGGGAGGCAGCAGUAGGGAAUCUUCCGCAAUGGGCGAAAGCCUGACGGAGCAACGCCGCGUGAGUGAUGAAGGUCUUCGGAUCGUAAAACUCUGUUAUUAGGGAAGAACAAAUGUGUAAGUAACUAUGCACGUCUUGACGGUACCUAAUCAGAAAGCCACGGCUAACUACGUG
rnacentral:rRNA from 1 species